rnacentral:rRNA from 1 species
CCUUGUACACACCGCCCGUCACACCACGAAAGUUGAGGGUACCCGAAGUCAUCGAGCUAACGUAAGGAGGCAGAUGCCGAAGGUAAAAUCAAUGAUUGGGGUG